UCACUGUUUGAUCAGGACCGUCACCUUGAGAAGGAUCAGGAUCAUAUCAGACCACAUAACCCGUUUUCCUUCCGAAGGCGACCCGAUCUUUUCUCCACUCUCCGGCCAUCUCCCGACGUCGUACCGGCACUGUUGGCUUCCUCUCAAGUCUCAACAGAGCGAAGCGGAGCCUACUUACCUUUUCUCAGAACUAGCAGCGAUGAUGGCAGAACGAAUCCUGAAAGUUCACGGGUUUUCCUGCGGGUUUUUCCGAUUCCGGCCAUUUCAUGGCUUGGCAACGGUGAAGGAGGCUUCGUCUCGACGUCGUGGACGUCCCUGUGCUGUCUGAUAGUGGCAAAAACAAAGCAUGAGAGAGAAUAGACUCCAGGAACUUCGGUGCUCUCGGGUUUUUUUUUCGUGUGUUUUCUGGCUGUUCAGGAGACCGUCGACGACAAACAAGGCAUCAAUCUUCAUAUAGUAAUCGAGCUCUACAAGAUGUGAAUGAAACUGGAAUUUUGGGAGUUUUAUGUUCACUGCGGGCACACUGUUCAUGAUGACGUUUUGGUUCUGUUUCGUCAAUUUCCGAUCACAACACAAACCUCCGAGUAGGAAUUGAUCAAUUGUUGUCCCUCAAAUCCGAGCGCCUGCAGAAUUGGAGGAGGCUUUGGUCACUUUGUAUUAAAAAAAAUACAAAAAUUAUGAAAAAAUUAUGAUAUGUUAAUGAUUGAACAAAAUAACGGGAAAUUCUAGUGUGCUGGUAUGUAUCCCAUACCCACACUUACAAAGUGAGAACAAAUUUGUUCUCAAAAUUGUAAUUUGAGUCCUACUUUGUGUAAUCUUUUGUUCUAAUAAUGGUAAUUACACCUCUUACGACACUUUUACAAGUUUUGAACAAAUUCGUUGUCAAUGUUGUAAUUUUUGUUCUCAAUGUUGUAAAUAGUGUAAAUGAAUAUGAUAAAUUUUGUUCUCAA